CCUACGGGAGACAGCAGUGAGGAAUAUUGGUCAAUGGGCGAGAGCCUGAACCAGCCAAGUCGCGUGAAGGAUGAAGGUUCUAUGGUUUGUAAACUUCUUUUAUAUGGGAAUAAAGUGCGGUACGUGUUCCUUUUUGUAUGUACCCUAUGAUUAAGCAUCGGCUAACUCUGUGCCAGCAGCCGCGGUAAUACGGAGGGUUCGAGCGUUAUCCGGAUUUAUUGGGUUUAAAGGGUGCGUAGGUGUUUUCUUAAUCCAGCGGUGAAAGUUUGUGGCUCAACCAUAAAAUUGCCGUUGAAACUGGAUGACUUGAGUAUAUUUGAGGUAGGCGGAAUGCGUGGUGUAGCGGUGAAAUGCAUAGAUAUCACGCAGAACACCGAUUGCGAAGGCAGCUUACUAAACUAUAACUGACACUGAGGCACGAAAGCGUGGGGAUCAAACAGGAUUAGAUACCCUAGUAGUG
rnacentral:rRNA from 1 species